UAACACGUAAGCAACCUGCCUAUCAGAGGGGAACAACAGUUAGAAAUGACUGCUAAUACCGCAUAUGCCUUAAUUACCACAUGGUGAUAGAGGGAAAGGAGCAAUCCGCUGAUAGAUGGGCUUGCGUCUGAUUAGAUAGUUGGUAAGGUAACGGCUUACCAAGUCGACGAUCAGUAGCCGGACUGAGAGGUUGAACGGCCACAUUGGGACUGAGAUACGGCCCAGACUCCUACGGGAGGCAGCAUG
rnacentral:rRNA from 1 species